rnacentral:tRNA from 1 species
GGUGCUGUGGCAUAGUGGGUAAAGCUGCUGCCACCAGCAGUGCCAGCAUCUCAUAUGGGCGCAGGUUCAAGUCCUGGCUGCUCCA